AAGAGUGAAAAAUAACAGGGAUAACAAUAUAGUUCCACUAAACAAGGGUGAUUUAUUUUGUCGUCUGUAAUUAAUGUGCAUAGUUUCAAUAUAUAAUGUCUAAUAUAUAUAUAUAUAUAUACACACACACGUGAAAAUAAGAAUUUGUUCUUAACUGACUAGUUAAAUAAAGGUAAAAUAAAAUAUAGAGCAACGAUCUUAAGUUUGGCUGAGGGCAGAUAUUGUGACUGUAAAGUUACUGUAGGUCAAUGAUGUAGCUAGUAACUGUAGGGCUAGCUACUGUAGCUAGUGACUGUAGGGCUAGCUACUGUAGCUAGUGACUGUAGGUCUAGCUACUGACUGUAGGGCUAGCUACUGUAGCUAGUGACUGUAGGGCUAGCUACUGUAGCUAGUAACUGUAGGGCUAGUGACUGUAGGUCUAGCUACUGUAGCUAGUGACUGUAGGUCAAUGAUGUAGCUAGUAACUGUAGGUCUAGCUAUUGUAGGUCUAGCUACUGUAGCUAGUGACUGUAGGGCUAGUGACUGUAGGUCUAGUGACUGUAGGUCUAGCUACUGUAGCUAGUAACUGUAGGUCUAUGAUGUAGCUAGUAACUGUAGGUCUAGCUACUGUAGGUCUAGCAACUGUAGCUAGUCACUGUAGGUAAAGCUACUGUAGGUCUAGCUACUGUAGCUAGUAACUCUAGGUCUAUGAUGUAGCUAGUAACUGUAGGUCUAGCUACUGUAGGUCUAGCUACUGUAGCUAGUAACUGUAGGUCUAGCUACUGUAGCUAGUAACUGUAGCUAGUACUGUAGGUCUAGCUACUGUAGCUAGUAACUGUAGGUGUAGUAACUGUAGGGCUAGCGACUGUAGGUCUAGUAACUGUAAGGCUAGCGACUGUAGGUCUAGUAACUGUAGCUAGUAACUGUAGGUCUAUGAUGUAGCUAGUAACUGUAGGUCUAGCUACUGUAGGUCUAGCUACUGUAGCUAGUAACUGUAGGGCUAGCGACUGUAGGUCUAGUAACUGUAGGGCUAGCGACUGUAGGUCUAGUAACUGUAGGGCUAGCGACUGUAGGUCUAGUAACUGUAGCUAGUAACUGUAGGUCUGUGACGUAUCUCGUUACUACAGGUCUAUGACGUAUCUAGUUACUAUAGGUCUAUGACGUAUCUAGUUACUAUAGGUCUAUGACGUAUCUAGUUACUAUAGGUCUAUGACGUAUCUAGUUACUAUAGGUCUAUGACGUAUCUAGUUACUAUAGGUCUAUGACGUAUCUAGUUACUAUAGGCCUAUUAUAUACAGUAUCUAGUUACUAUAGGUCUGUGACGUAUCUAGUUACUAUAGGUCUGUGACGUAUCUAGUUACUAUAGGUCUGUGACGUAUCUAGUUACUAUAGGUCUGUGACGUAUCUAGUUACUAUAGGUCUGUGACGUAUCUAGUUACUAUAGGUCUGUGACGUAUCUAGUUACUAUAGGUCUAUGACGUAUCUAGUUACUAUAGGUCUGUGACGUAUCUAGUUACUAUAGGUCUGUGACGUAUCUAGUUACUAUAGGUCUGUGACGUAUCUAGUUACUAUAGGUCUGUGACGUAUCUAGUUACUAUAGGUCUGUGACGUAUCUAGUUACUAUAGGUCUAUGACGUAUCUAGUUACUAUAGGUCUGUGACGUAUCUAGUUACUAUAGGUCUGUGACGUAUCUAGUUACUAUAGGACUAUGAUGUAUCUAGUUACUAUAGGUCUAUGAUGUAUCUAGUUACUACAGGUCUAUUAUAUACAGUAUCUAGUUACUAUAGGCCUAUGACGUAUCUAGUUACUAUAGGUCUAUGACGUAUCUAGUUACUAUAGGUCUGUGACGUAUCUAGUUACUAUAGGUCUAUUAUAUACAGUAUCUAGUUACUAUAGGUCUAUGAUGUAUCUAGUUACUAUAGGUCUAUGACGUAUCUAGUUACUAUAGGUCUAUGAUGUAUCUAGUUACUAUAGGUCUAUGAUGUAUCUAGUUACUAUAGGUCUAUGAUGUAUCUAGUUACUAUAGGUCUAUUAUAUACAGUAUCUAGUUACUAUAGGUCUAUGACGUAUCUAGUUACUAUAGGUCUAUUAUAUACAGUAUCUAGUAACUAUAUGUGUCAGGU